CAUCGCUUCCCACCGUCCUUUCCAGGAAAUUCCAGCCCAUAACUCGCGGCCUUGGGAAUGUCUGCAUGGACUCUGGAGCCAGGCCCCUCUGGGCUGCAUCCCUAAUCAGUCCACUCUCUGCAGGAUCCCCGGCAGAUGUACUUCUCUAGGCCUCAGCUUCUCCACCUGCAGAGCGGGCUCACCUGAUGGCCAGCACCUGUGGCCUGUGGUGGCUCCCUGCGGCCCAGCGCGAGGGACGGCUUCCCCGGCUGCUCUCCGCCUGGGUGUGGAGAAGCUGGCAGACAAGCAGGUCAGUGGCGGCCUGGCCUGCAUAGGACCAGCCUUUCCAGUCCAGAGGCCUUGUGUCCUCCAAGAUGGGGGCGAAGUAGAACCAGCCUCCUACAGGAUGAGAAUUCCUGGCUAGUGCUUCACAGACCCGGCUCCAUCCAUCCUGUGGCUCUGGUGCAGUUACUCUGCUUGCUGUGUGGACAGGGACCGCAGUGGAUAAAUGUGUUUCGGGAAUCCCAUCCAGAAACUCGCAGGCGCCCUUCAGCCGACCAUCUGACCGUAGCUGAGGCCAGGUAGACGAGAGGUGACUUGCAGGAAAUUCGGUCACAUCUGCCAAGCACCUUUUUGUGCUUAGGGGGAAGCCGCCCUCACCACGGCAGGGGGUGGCGUGCAACCAGUGAUCCCUAUUGCGUUUUCAGUCUGUUGACAUAUUUUAAAUAAUAGGAAUGAUUCCAGGAAAACACGGCGAGUCAUAGAUGUCAUCGUCAGCCAUUCGUGAGGGCUGUGUUGACGAGCGAACGAGAUCAACAGAACAAAGCUGAGGGUCCGAGGGGCCGGAGCUGGUCUGCUUGGUGAUGCUAAGAACCACAUUUCUCAGAAUCUCUUCUUGACUGGUUCCAGGGAAGAAUUGCCAGAAGAGAAGUUCCGGCGCCUCCGCGAGCGCCGGGCACCCC